CACUUUCUUGUCUGUAGUUACGUAUCAAAACGUUAAUGGUAAGUUCAAUUAAGAUACAAACAUUUAUGCAUUUACGGUGAACUGUUUUACGUCGUGUUAAAUUUUAAGUUACUGUAAUUCCUUCUUAUCUAUUGAAUAUUUCAGGAGGCGGCUGUUCAGGGCAGGUUUGUACUUUGAAUACGUAUGCUGGCAAUUCCAUUGUAUGGGUUACUACACCAUACCCUGCUCCCCAGCCGUUCAUGGGUUCGGCUUACAACAGGACUUCUGGUACACUGUGUCACGGUCCAGAAGACUACUUUGUGAAGAGGAAAUGGUGUAAGAACUAAGCGGCAGAAGACGCAGCCAAGCUACAACAGUGCCAAGGAGACGAAUGUUUGGAUUUGAGACGACGAAACCAUGUGUUCUGAGUGCAGGAAUAAAUUACAUUGCGUCUCCAACUGCGAAUGGGAAAUGUGUUAACAUUGGUUGACACUCUAUGUUCAUAGAAGUAUGAAAGACAAUGUAAGAUGAAUCUGACAACACUUACUGUGAAAUAGGAAGGAAUCCACACGAAGACUUUAAAGUGGAAGUGAAUAACUGGCAGGAGAUAAAGCAGAAUUUAUAUUGAAAUCCCGGAUCUGAUUAAUAUCUACACAGAUAUCGACAGCCUUGGCUUCAGAGAUUGAAGUCUCCAAAUCAAUAUCACAUAACUACAUUCAAAGGAAGAUACUUUUUAAAAUAUGAAAAGAAGCACGCUUGUAUGUUCUAUCGACAUUUUCUAAAUUAAAACUAAUCUUUUUUAUUAUAUCGAUUCAUUCUAUUCAAACGUUUAUAACUUUUUAGAUAUUUAAAGAUAUAUUUAUUAAAACCUGUAUAAUAGAUGCUGGUUUCGUAGUGCACGUGGUAUUUCUAAACUAUUUGUUGCUUCUCCUUGUUACCUUCGAAGUGAGUUUAUUUUAAAUAAUAUUAUUUCUGUCUUAUAUAUUCUAACAAGAUAUUACUUAUGUAUUACUUACACUAAUCUGCAUUCAUCUUCAACACAACAGGACAGAUUAAAAUUAAUUCACUGAAAGAAACGAAUACUAAUCAUAUCCAAUAUAUUGAUGUUAAGAACCAAAGGUUGUGACGUCAUAUAUUAUUUAUAUUAUUUACUACGCCAUAGUUAAAAACCUUGUAAACAAUAAACAUCCAUUUACGUCAUUCAGCGUGUUUUCUCUUACAAACCGAUACACAACAGCAACAGAAAAAAUUGUGAGGGGAAAAAGGAGUUAGAAAUAUAAGAAAGAAUUUACAUCCAAGUGUAUUCUUUAAUUACUUGAUUUGAAAUAGAGAAUAUAAUGACUAUAAUAAUGGUAAGAACAAAACUGUAAUGGAAUCCUUUUUGAAGUGCAUUGAAAUUCCGAGAGCGUUUUUCACCCCACAUCGUAGCCGUUGAGGUUGUUCGGGCGAUCAUAAGCAAGAAUGGUGUUUAAGGUUGUGUUAAAAUAAUGAGAUUCGAGGUUGUUGUUGCAACAAUUUUACCCAACAGCGAAUUCCGUGCAUAUUGUUGCAUUAAUGUGUUCUGGCAAUUACCAUGGCGCACACAGCGGUGACAGUGUGUUUGUACAAUAACCUGGGCCACACCGUUGCAACCAGGACGCUGGAAGCUGGAGCCUGUCUAGGCCUGCAAGCCAAGACACGAGAGAGGAGAUACGUGAGACCAGCUAGUGAUAAUGAAUUCUGGGGAAAUUUCUGUCUUCACGGGUGGUAUUUCCAAUCUUGGGGAGCCCUUUGUGGAGGAAGCCGGACUUAGUCAAUGAUUUGCAGGUUCUGGAUUUCGUCUAGCUAUGUAAUAGGCCAAGUGACAACUAGCAGUCCGUCGAUGGCUAGCCCCGUGUUUUCUAACCCCUACAGUUUGUAGUCUAAUGGCUUCCAAACACAGCAAAAGCAAAGAUAAGGAAUUUAAGUAAAAGUGGGCAAGGGGGUGAGAGGUGAGGCCUGUUGGGCAAUGUCCCCGAAGUAGCAAGCACUCAGAGUAAGAAGGCUGUAGGAAAGCCAGGUUUCUGAAGCUGUGGGGGAGUCAACGCCGGUUUGUGGUAAGAUUUGGGUGUAAGGAAGUUUCUGGGAUUUUGAGGUGAAAACGUCUUUAAAAUCGAUGCCGGGUGAGGGGAGGCAAUCGCGCCCAAAUGACCGACAGUUUCUGUCGAAAUAAUUUCAAACUUCAAUAACU